ACUCCUACGGGAGGCAGCAGUGGGGAAUAUUGGACAAUGGGCGCAAGCCUGAUCCAGCCAUGCCCGUGUGUGAAGAAGGCCUUCGGGUUGCCCAGCACUUUCAGUGGUGAGGAAAGGUUGGUGGUUAAUACCCAUCAGCUGUACUUAGCCACAGAAGAAGCACCGGCUAACUCCGUGCCGCAGCCGCGGUAA
rnacentral:rRNA from 1 species